UAUGAGAAAGUUAUUGAAGAUUGUUGGUUAGGUGUUCAAAUAACGUUUUAUAGUUUUCACAUUUAGGUGAAAAUGUGAAUUGAUGAUCCGACCGUUGGAUCAUCACCAAACUUUGAUACGUUAUAGUACGUAAUAUUUGAGGAUUAUUGGAACUUACGGAUUGGGAAUCCGAGUUACGGAUCUUCCGGAAUUGGAAUUGUAAGUCCAUAAUAUAAAAUGUUAACCGUCACUUAGUUUUGGAAAUUGACGGAGAUCCGACCGUUGGAUGGUAAUGAAAUUUUAGGAUGUUGUCCUAGAGGUAUAAUGUGGACCUCUGGAAGUUAUGGAUUUAAAAUCUGAGUGGCAGAUCUUCCGGAUCGAUCAACGUAGUGACGUAUUUUAUAUAAGUUAUGUAUUCUAUCGAUAUGAAUUCUGAGCCUGGAUUUGAUUACUAUUCUAGGCGGCGAUCGUCAUGACGCCUUGAUGUGUGGUGCUAGGGAGUUGUUGGACGAACUCCAGGUGAGUGGGCAGUUUUGUUUUCCGUAUAUAUAUAUACUUGACGUUUCCCAGAAAUUGAAUUGAAAUGAAAAUAUGUUUAAAAUGAAAUGCAUAUGAGUUAUGUGGAAAAACGGGAAGUGAAAUACCAUGCAUAGAAUUGAUAUGAAAAGUAUAUAGAAAUGUGAGUUGAAAUGCCAUGCAUGAAUUAAUAUAUGAUGCAUAUGUAUGAAUUGGUGCGGUGGACGCACAGGUAAGAAUUGAUUUAUGAUGCAUAUGUAUGAAUUGGUGCGGUGGACGCACAUGUAAGAAUUGAUUUAUGAUGCAUAUGUAUGAAAUGGUGCGGUGGACGCACAGAUGAGUAUUUAAUUACUGUUAUGAUGAUGAUGAUAUAUAUUGAGCUCAAAUCCUGCACCAUGGUUUAGUGCUUAUAGUAUUCACCGCAUCGCACGCUCGCCUUGGAUCCAAGUAGAUGCUAGUCGUACAGUCCACGCGGAGUGGGUACGACAGACCAGUCGCGAGAGUGUUAGUGAGAUUCCGACUGGUGGGUGACCUUAGAUUAUGUGCACAGAUGAUUUAUGAGAAGCACUAGAGCGUAACUUGCGUGCAGAAGGCCGGACGGGUCACAGAGGUGACUCCGGUAGAGUGAUAAUGAUAGAUUUUGAGCUCUAGGUUCAACCGUAUAGGGCUAUUAGAGGGCCUACGGUUGAUUACUUUCUUGCACCUGAUAUGAUUAUGUUGAUGCAUUCAUACCUUAUUACUGUUGAGAUGAUGUGGCAUGGCAUAAUUAAUAUGAGAAAUGUUGAGAUGACAUGGCAUGGCAUGAUUGAUAAAGAGAUAAUGUUGAGAUAGUAAAAAUGAAGUUUUGAGAAUAUAUAUGUAUAUUUAUAUUUUACAUUUCUGGGAAAGUAUACAGGUUUUACGGAGAGGGGUUACAACGUUUUGAGAAAUGUUUGGAUUUGGAAAAGAAUUGUUUUACUGACCCACUCAAUUUUGGUUUUGCGCCCCUCCAGGUUCAGGAAUCACAAAGGUGUGGUGACUACGAGGAAUUCGACGGUGUUCUGACAGAUUGGACAAAAUUAGGACUCACCUUCGGGUGUAUCAACUUAUAAAUUGUAUAAUUAAAGCUUCCGUACUGUGCAAAUGGUUACGUCACUCUCACGUGACGGCCAGCAUGCCCUCCUUCGGGACGGGGUGUGUCAGUUGGUAUCAGAGCAUGGUUGCAAUCUUGGACAUUUUGAGAAGUUCUAGUGAAUUCUGUCAGAACUACACCGCCUCGUAGCAAACCACGUAGUUAGAGGAACUUAGUCUCCCCGAUUUAGCGGGUUGGGGGAAACUAUUAUUAUGGUGAUUCGGUAUAUUAUCAAAAUGGACAUUUUAAGACGGGUUAUGAGUUGAAUUUGAAUCACCUUAUGAAAUGAUGAACCUGAGGGAGCGAAGUAACGGUUUAACCAUUUGGAAAAGAUGUUUCAGGUUAUGCAAGUCAAAGGAAAUUUCCUUCUGACAGGUGGGUCGAGACGACUACCUGGUUUUGGGUAUGAAUUUGCAUCCUGGUGGAAACAGGAAUGUUAAUUGUUGUCACCAGAGGAAUCAGCCGAUUUAAAAUUUUUUAAGGAAAAGUUUAUCCCUCCGGCAUUUAUCGAUGGUAGUAAACAAGAGUUUACAAAUAUGAGACAAGGAAGGUGAUGAUCGAGGGAUAUUAUAGAAAGUUUUCAGACUUGCCUCGUUCCAUCCAGAUAUUGUUGUUAAUUUGGUGGAGGUGUUAUGUUGUUUUAAGCUGGGUGGCAAAAAGGGAAGUGGUAUUUUGGGUGACCACUAUCCAUUGUACUUCUUACCAGGAGUAUACAAGAUGUUGUUGAGCCUUGAGGACUCUGAGAACAUGAGCAACGAGAAUAAAGAAGAAUAAGAAAAGAAUGGGAAUUAAAAGAAGACGAUAAAGUUAAUGAUUCGUCAUAUCAAGGAUAUAGAAAGAUUCAGAGCUUCGAAAGAAGUGAAGCUAGAGUUAAUUUUUCCAGCUGAGGUUUUAAUGUCGCUGGUCAGAAUAAAAGUGAUGGAUAUACUGGUAAUCCCCGAUAUUUGAGACAAGGUGUCUCGAGUAAAGGAAAUGUACUUUGUGCAGCAUGUACAAAAUUAACACUUUGGGAAAUGUGAAAUUAAUGAAUGUGUUUAUGUGAACAGAAGGGACACAGAGUUGUGAAUCGUCCCUAGAAUCAGUUGUACUCAACAAUUUUCCAUGAAAUCAUAGUGUCGAUUCAGCAGAGUUAUGGAUUUAGUAGUUUGGUCGGAUUGACCGUGAGUACAGAGAUAUUUGAUGAGUUAUAUGUUCAGCCGUACGGACCAUGAGAAAUGGAUUUGACUGACACAUGAGAAAUUGGUGAGUUAUAGGCUCGGCCGUACCGACCACGCGGAGUGGAUCCGGCCGACGUAUUAUUGAGAUAAGAGUUGAAUCAGUCGUAUUGAUCAUUCUAGUUGACUUCGGCUGAUAUAUUUCUUAUUAUGUAUGUUAUUACCUUGAGAGUAGUAAAUAAAUGUAGUUGAGAUGAAUGUAUGUAUUUUGCAUUGAGUGACAAAAUAGUAAUGUUAUAUCUUUGAGAGUGGUUGCCUACUUAUCGAGACAACGAUGAUUUAUCAGUAUUGCGGGCUGCAGACCGUAAUAUUAAUAACUCAUUCGUGGAUUCGUUAAGCAAGCAAACCGGUAGAUUAUUUUAUGUUAGUAUUGUACUUAUUUGGAAUGCUUAAUAAUAAUAGAAUAUAUAUUGUAUCAGUUAAUUCUGUUUCCAUUAGAUUGGUUGGUUAUAAUUGUGACAAGACGAAAUGUUAUGGGAAACCAGUACUUUCCAUCGAUCUGGAUGAACAGAGAUUACUUUUGUAAGUAUGCAAAAUGGAUUGAGUCAGGCUGUUAUUUAUGCUGUGAGAGCAAAGAGAUUGUUUUCGAAAGGCUGUCAAAAAUACUUAGCUCAUGUGGUGCUAAAUGAUGUUGUUUGGAGUAGUGUGAAUAAUGUCGAAAGAGUUAGACUUUUCUUGAUGUCUUCCUUGAAAGUAUACCUGGAUUGCCUUCAGGCAGAGAUAUGAGGUUCAUUAUUGAUUUGUUGCCAGGUAUAAAUUUAUAUUGGAGAUUGGUUCAGGAUGAGUUAAGGGAAUUGGAAAUUCAGUUGAGAGAAUUGGUUGAUAAAAGUUUUAUUCAACCUAGUACAACACUUUUGAGGAGCCCAGUUUGUUGGUGAGGAAGAAAAAUGGAUCUUGAGACUGUUCAUUGAUUAUAGACAAUGGAGUCGGGUAACGAUUGAGAACCGUUAUCCAUGGUGAUGUACUGAUGUUUAUUUAACCAGCUCAGAAGUAAUUGCGAAGAUUCAAAGAUUGAAUUGAGAUCUGGUUACUACCAAUUGAAUAUUAUAAGUGACGUUGAUCAUAAGAUGGUUUUCUGGACUUGUUAUAGUUUUUAUGAAGUUUGGUGAUGCUAUAUGGAUACUCAUGCUGUUUUAUGAGUUAUUGGAUGAAGUAUUCCAAUAAUGCCUUGAUAAAUAGAUAUCAUUUUCAUUGAAGAUAUUCUGGUAUACUCUAAGCCUAGAGCAGAGCAUGUAAACGUAUUAAGUCAAUGAAGCAAAGAUUGAGAGAACGUUAGUUGUAUGCUAAGUUUAGCAAAAGCUAAAGUUAAAUGGAUCAAGUGGCAUUCUAAAAUUUGUUAUGUCUGCUUAAGGUAUUCAAGUGAAUCCUUAAAGGAUAGCAGAAAUUGAGAAUUUGGAACAACCACGAGUCGUAAUUGAGAUUUGGAAUUUCUUAGCUUACCAGGCUAUUUUGGAUGGUUGUGAAAGAAUUUUUAGUCAUUGCGUUGUCAUUAACGAGACUGAUGAGAAAAGAGGUUAUGUAUGAGUGGGAAGGAAUUGUAAGCAAAGGAUUCAACAACUGAAGUAUUUCCUCACUCAUGCACGUAUUUUAAUAUUCCCAGAAGAUAGCGAUAAUUAUCGGUAUAUGGUGAUGUUACAUUAAAUGUUCUUGGAUAUGUACUAAUGCAAAUGUUAGGGUGAUUGCAUACGUUUCACGACAAAUGGAAUCUCAUGAGAUGAAUUACCCUACUAGUGAUUUGGAAGUCACGAUUACCAUCCUUGCUGUGAAGUUAUGGAGACAUUAUAUUUUAGUGAGAAUGCAAGAUUUUACAAAUCAAAAGAGUCUUCAAUAUCCAUUACUUGGAAGGAUUUUGAUAUGAGGCAGCGAAAGUGAAUUGUAUUGCUUAAUGAACAUGAUUGUACGAUCAGGUGAUCGUAAAGUUUGUUCUAGCUGAAGCACUUGAUAAGAAGACUGCAGUAAGAAUUAAUAUCUAGUACGCUUGCCAAGAUUAUCUUCUUGUGGAUUGGAAAUCAACUAAAGUAAAGUUAAGAAUGGAAGAUCGAGAAGAAGUUAUACUUGUUAAGUAACAAGUUAGUACAUUUACUCCAGUGUUGAGUAACAACCUUUCCCAGACAGUGCAACAUUACUUAUUUGUUUUAUGGAAAAGAGAAUUGGUUUAAGGAACUGCUGAGUUUCUUAAGUAUGUUGGUUGUGCAGUUUCCGAAGUAACGCCAUAAGGAUCAUGAAAUGUGUCAUGUGAGUCGGUUUUUGAUGACUUGUGAAUGGAAUGUUUCUGGGUAGAGAAGGAUUCGAUCAAGAAAGAGUUUUAGUAGACCCUGAGACUAUGGAUGAGUUUCCUCAAAGUAUUCAGGUGAUUAAGUUAACCUGAAGUAACCAGGAAUGGCAAAAGACAUCAACAGAUGGAUAUGCCACUAAUCGAGUAUAUAAGGUAAAUGGUUAUAUUUUAGAAGUGUUCACCUUAGAAAAGUAGAAUUUGGAUUGGAAAAAGAAGGUCCUGAGAGUUAAGAUAGAGUAAAUGGUAAAAGUUUUGUGAAGGAAUCAUUCAGUGGAAGAAAAUUACGUGGGAGAAAAAGAAUCGGAUGAAAGAAACUUACCGAGGUUGGUAUAAGUGUUGAUGAAUUGGUUGGUUGCUGGAAUUUCGGGGACGAAAUUCUAUAAGGAGGGAAGAUUGUCACAGCCCGUUCCAAAUUAUUAUAUUCGUGGCUGUGAAUGAACGAAAUUGCCCUUAAGAAAUACUAAAUUUGUGAAGCUCAGGUUGCUAAUUAUCUAGGUUCCUAAGUUUGAAAAUAAAAUGGAAUUUAAUAAGGAUGGAACUUAGAUUUUUAGGUUAAAAUGUUAAAGUUUGGUGUUUGGAGAUUGGAAUAAGGACCACGUGGGAUCCCCACAUCCCUCAAAACCCUCCUCAUUUCCCGUUCACUGUCUUUCUCUCUCCUCCUUCACGAUUUCUCACUCUCUCUGUCUCUCUCCUUCGAACUCACACGGACCACCACCAAAACCACCCUAAAUCUAUACCAACGUCAAGUUUGAGACCACCAUUGGAAUCCUGAGGACUUCACGAUCACGUUGGUAUCCAUUUCAGGUAAGUUUUACUUCGGAAAACCUAGAUUCUAAACUCCCCAUGAAAGUGUACUGUUCAUGAGCUUUGAAUUGGUUGAUUUUUAGGACAAUCCAAGCUCAUAGUGAGCUUAGUGAGGUCCCAAGGAAGCUCGGAGUGCUUCGUUGGAAGUUUUUGGACGUAAGAACACGGAGAUAGACAAGUUCAAAAUUUGGCCGGAGCUUUCGAGGCGUUUUCCGGCGAAUCCCCGGCGAUUUAGGAGUCGAGGUAGGUAUCAAUCUCUUCGUCUCGUCAAGUACUACAAUUUUCCUUUUUGUUUCACUCAAUUUCGUUGAGUAUUGAAGAAGUUAUACUCAUUUGAAAAAUACCCAGUUUCCGGCGACCUCCGAGGCUUUCGAGACAGUUUCCGGCCAAACCACGGCGAACUAGGUGUUGUGCAAGGUACCAUUAUCUUUGUCUCUUCAAGGGCUACAACUUUCGUUUUUGAAUCACUUGAUUUCGUUGAGAAAUGACAAAGUUAUGGCAAUUUGAAAAACUGUUCAGAAAACGGCCGCCGGAAAAACCAGUCCGGCGACCCAAGGAAGAAGAAGGUGCUACAGUAAAAAUAAAAAAUAAAAAUAAAAUUAUUUUAAAAAUAUGUCGACGUCCGUGACGUCGAGUAGAUCACUGUGGUAUAUUCAUAUACCUAAAUUGAACACCGUAUGAGAAAGUUAUUGAAGAUUGUUGGUUAGGUGUUCAAAUAACGUUUUUUAUAGUUUUCACAUUUAGGUGAAAAUGUGAAUUGAUGAUCCGACCGUUGGAUCAUCACCAAACUUUGAUACGUUAUAGUACGUAAUAUUUGAGGAUUAUUGGAACUUACGGAUUGGGAAUCCGAGUUACGGAUCUUCCGGAAUUGGAAUUGUAAGUCCAUAAUAUAAAAUGUUAACCGUCACUUAGUUUUGGAAAUUGACGGAGAUCCGACCGUUGGAUGGUAAUGAAAUUUUAGGAUGUUGUCCUAGAGGUAUAAUGUGGACCUCUGGAAGUUAUGGAUUUAAAAUCUGAGUGGCAGAUCUUCCGGAUCGAUCAACGUAGUGACGUAUUUUAUAUAAGUUAUGUAUUCUAUCGAUAUGAAUUCUGAGCCUGGAUUUGAUUACUAUUCUAGGCGGCGAUCGUCAUGACGCCUUGAUGUGUGGUGCUAGGGAGUUGUUGGACGAACUCCAGGUGAGUGGGCAGUUUUGUUUUCCGUAUAUAUAUAUACUUGACGUUUCCCAGAAAUUGAAUUGAAAUGAAAAUAUGUUUAAAAUGAAAUGCAUAUGAGUUAUGUGGAAAAACGGGAAGUGAAAUACCAUGCAUAGAAUUGAUAUGAAAAGUAUAUAGAGAAAUGUGAGUUGAAAUGCCAUGCAUGAAUUAAUAUAUGAUGCAUAUGUAUGAAUUGGUGCGGUGGACGCACAAUGUAAGAAUUGAUUUAUGAUGCAUAUGUAUGAAAUGGUGCGGUGGACGCACAGAUGAGUAUUUAAUUACUGUUAUGAUGAUGAUGAUAUAUAUUGAGCUCAAAUCCUGCACCAUGGUUUAGUGCUUAUAGUAUUCACCGCAUCGCACGCUCGCCUUGGAUCCAAGUAGAUGCUAGUCGUACAGUCCACGCGGAGUGGGUACGACAGACCAGUCGCGAGAGUGUUAGUGAGAUUCCGACUGGUGGGUGACCUUAGAUUAUGUGCACAGAUGAUUUAUGAGAAGCACUAGAGCGUAACUUGCGUGCAGAAGGCCGGACGGGUCACAGAGGUGACUCCGGUAGAGUGAUAAUGAUAGAUUUUGAGCUCUAGGUUCAACCGUAUAGGGCUAUUAGAGGGCCUACGGUUGAUUACUUUCUUGCACCUGAUAUGAUUAUGUUGAUGCAUUCAUACCUUAUUACUGUUGAGAUGAUGUGGCAUGGCAUAAUUAAUAUGAGAAAUGUUGAGAUGACAUGGCAUGGCAUGAUUGAUAAAGAGAUAAUGUUGAGAUAGUAAAAAUGAAGUUUUGAGAAUAUAUAUGUAUAUUUAUAUUUUACAUUUCUGGGAAAGUAUACAGGUUUUACGGAGAGGGG
rnacentral:lncRNA from 1 species